rnacentral:rRNA from 1 species
GGCCUAAAUCAGGUAGGAUACCCGCUGACUUAAC